UACGUAGGCAGCAAGCGUUGUUCGGAGUUACUGGGCGUAAAGAGUCUGUAGGCGGUGCUCUAAGUUUGGUGUGAAAUCUCCCGGCUUAACCGGGAGGGUGCGCCGAAGACUGGGGUGCUGGAGUCUGGGAGAGGAAAGCGGAAUUCCUGGUGUAGCGGUGGAAUGCGCAGAUAUCAGGAGGAACACCGGUGGCGAAGGCGGGUCUCUGGGCCAUUACUGACGCUGAGGAGCGAAAGCGUGGGGAGCGAACAGG
rnacentral:rRNA from 1 species